GGCUAUUGUAGUGGAAAUGCUAAGUCAUGACUUGAGGCAGUGAUUGAGCACCUGGUGGGAAGGCAAGGCCAUCCCAGGGGAGCUCAGGUGCAUGUAAUGCAAUGCACGUGAGUGAUCAGAAGAGGGUGGAGCCGGGAUCCAUCCCUCCCCAGACCUCAUUUAAGGAUUGGCAGUGGGGGUAAGCAUGUUUUGCCGGAGAUCCCUGUGUGCCUGAGGCCUUCUGAAGAGGAAAAUGAAACUUGGAAUGCUUUCUCCAUUAGCGCUGCUUAGCCUCGGAGUAAUAGCGGUGCUUGAGCGACUUGAAAGGAGAAACACUCUGCUCCAGCACAGCAACCAGAGCAGACAUGCUGCGUGGAGCAUGCUUAAAUCGCCGGGGAGCUGGGUGCCCCAGAAAGUUCCCCAUUAUGGCUAUUCUUUUGUGUUCUGGAUCACUGGGACAAGGCUGGCUUUUCUCCUGCCGCUACCUGUUGCUCUGAAUGGAUUCGGUGAAAGGAAGCUUUGGGAUGGCAACACUGAAAUUCUAAGCCCUGCAAGAAGAGGAGACGUCACAGCACAGACAUUUGUGAGCAGCUGUGUUCAAGGGUGAAGCACAGGAAGAGUAACGUUUCAUCCAACAUCCCUGAUGAACACCAUCAGACCUCACUGAGAGCUGCAGCCACUGCCGCCGAACCACACUGAUGUGUUAGCAAGGUCAAAUAUCCC
ensembl:lncRNA